GACGAACGCUGGCGGCGUGCUUAACACAUGCAAGUCGAACGGAAAGGCCCUGCUUUUGUGGGGUGCUCGAGUGGCGAACGGGUGAGUAACACGUGAGUAACCUGCCCUUGACUUUGGGAUAACUUCAGGAAACUGGGGCUAAUACCGGAUAGGAGCUCCUGCUGCAUGGUGGGGGUUGGAAAGUUUCGGCGGUUGGGGAUGGACUCGCGGCUUAUCAGCUUGUUGGUGGGGUAGUGGCUUACCAAGGCUUUGACGGAUAGCCGGCCUGAGAGGGUGACCGGCCACAUUGGGACUGAGAUACGGCCCAGACUCCUACGGGAGGCAGCAGUGGGGAAUAUUGCACAAUGGGCGGAAGCCUGAUGCAGCAACGCCGCGUGCGGGAUGACGGCCUUCGGGUUGUAAAACGCUUUCGCCUGUGACGAAGCGUGAGUGACGGUAAUGGGUAAAGAAGCACCGGCUAACUACGUG
rnacentral:rRNA from 1 species